CAUGCCUACGGGGGGCAGCAGUAGGGAAUCUUCCACAAUGGACGAAAGUCUGAUGGAGCAACGCCGCGUGAGUGAAGAAGGGUUUCGGCUCGUAAAGCUUUUUUGGUAGGGGAAAAAGAUAGAGGGAGUAACUGGCCUUUAUUUGACGGUAAUUACUUAGAAAGUCACGGCUAACUACGUGCCAGCAGCCGCGGUAAUACGUAGGUGGCAAGCGUUUUCCGGGUUUUUUGGGGGUAAAGCGAGUGGAGGCGGAUU
rnacentral:rRNA from 1 species